CCUAUGGUCUUCCUGUCGGAGCAAAAUGUGUUAAGUACCCCGCCUGGGGAGUACGCUCGCAAGGGUAAAACUCAAAGGAAUUGACGGGGGAUCACACAAGCGGUGGAGCAUGUGGUUUAAUUGGAAGCAACGCGAAGAACCUUACUUGGCCUUAACAUGCACGNAUUAGCUCUGUGAAAGCAGAGUGACGGCCCUUCGGGGUUGGAACGUGCACAGGUGUNGCAUGGCUGUGGUCAGCUCGUGUCGUGAGAUGUUGGGUUAAGUCCCGUAACGAGCGAAACCCUUAUUGCUAGUUGCCAGCGGGUAAUGCCGGGNACUCUAGCGAGACUGCNGUUGUUAAAACGGGGGAAGGUGGGGACGANGUCAAGUCAUCAUGGCCCUUAUGGCCAGGGCGACACACGUGNUACAAUGGUCUGUACAAAGGGUUCCCAAGCCGCGAGGCGUGAGGCAAUCCCAUCAAAGCAAACCCCAGUUCGGAUUGCAGGCUGAAAUUCGCCUGCAUGAAGGUUGG
rnacentral:rRNA from 1 species